UGGAAAUCUCCAUAAAUUUCGCCGUGUAACUGUCAAAAUUUCCACCAAAAUCCUACUGAUGAGAAUCGCCUCCAUGGUCGUUAAAACAGUCCAGCUACGACGGACCAACAUGCUUCUCCAUCUCGAUUCCCCCUUGGUCUCGGUGUUGAACUCCACUGCCACCUAGGCUCCCGUAGCAGCGGCGUUGCGACCUACAUGCCAAUCGAUCUCGAUCCCGAUCCCCCUUGAUCUCGGCGGACCAAGUAGAACUCUGCGUUUUAGACUGAACACUGGGCCAAGAUCUAGCCCUGGUGCCCCCACCGCCACCGAGGCUCCCGUAGCAGCGGCGUUGCGACCUACAUGCCACUUGAUCUCGAUCCCCCUUGGUCUCGGCGGACCAAGUACAACUCUUCGUGUUAGACUGAAUACUAGGCCAAGAUCUGCCGCAGGUGCCCCCACCGCCACCGAGGCUCCCGUAGCCUCCGUUGGAUGCAGUUGCAGUGGUAGUCGCUUUCGACGGCUCCGAAUCUUCACUGGUGGUAAGAACCUUGGGCCGCCACCUGCUGUAUGAAAGUUUUUUAGAUUUUUCUCAGAUAGUGGAGAUAUUCAAUUCAAGCCUCGCGUUGAACCAUGGGACCCCGCUCCAUUUUUAUAAAUAAUGUCUCUUCCUUGUCUUUCGUUGGACGCGGAAAUUCUAAAACGGGCACAAUUGGGAUAUUGUGUUGUGCAAGGCAGCCUUUAUUUGUUCUCAUAAAUUCUCAGCACUACUUCGUCCAUCAGGCGAUCGAUAAAAUAUCUAAACCAAAAUUCAACCUCCAACUAUGACUUUUGACGUUUCUGGGUACACCGCAACCUCCAACCUCCGGCAACUGUUGUCGAGGCAGCUCCAGCGGACCCUCACCUCCAGCUUCGGCUGUUGAGGCACACUUGGUGCGGGAUAGGCACCAGAGUUGUGCCACAACGGAGUGGCCAUGGGAUUCGGAAGGAAAACCAAAAUAUUUAUUAAACUUGCCGAGAUUAGUAUUGGUUUCGAGAUUGUUUCUAGAAAUUAAGAACGUGGCUCCUUGCAGUCAGUUUAGAGCACACCACCUAUGUUGCUGAAUAAAAUUCCUCAUCCACAUUGAAAGAGAUUUCCUGUUGCUUAAUAAGUUGUUCUGUGUCAAACUGGGUUGGUUGAAUCCUGUCGUCCUCAAAGUGCUAAUCUGCUGAGCAAAUGUCAGAAUCUAGCGAUCCACAUAUUCAUCUACGUAGUAACAACCUUCCAGGCUCGUUGAAAGUGGCUCAAAAUGAUUGAACCUCAUCCAGCAUGGAUGCUACAUGUGAGCUACAUUUUGUUAACCUUGAUGUAUCUUGUUGGAGUCACUCGGUGAGUCAGAGCUGCAAACUAGGCUUGUUGGUGGAGAAAGUGAGGCGAAUCUGUGAACUAAAUUCGUUGACGAAGAAAGGCUCACCAAGUUGGUUCCUAGAAAAGGGACUAUUGGGGUCGGUUUCUCGGGGCUAUCAAAUAAUUAUGAUGAGGCCCUCAGGGAAUGUAGGGACAAGGAAGAAUACACAGAAGACAGUGGCUAUUAUUCUUGGAGGAGCCGUGGGGAUAGGCCGGGGAAUUGCUUGUUUGCUGUUUGUUAAAUCAACUUUCGGGGAAAAGCCGCCUCCUUACAAAUAUGGUGGAUGAGAUAUUCUUUCACGUACGAAAAAAAGUGUUGAUUGUCUGCAAUAGUUAGAGGCAACUUAGUGGUGGCAACAAAUUUCAUUAUUCCAGUUCGAGUAUUGUCCUCUGAAUAUACCCACGUGGAUAGUGGUGACGUUGUAGAACCGGCACCCGAACUGCCAACUUGCAAUUGUGUUUAACCUGCUGGAAGAAGUCCAUGUCUGGCGCACAUGCUUUGUAGUGGCGGUUGAUAUGGAUGGUACCAAUUCCUUUUUGCCAUGUCAAUCUUUGUUGGCAGUAUUUACAUAUUGAUUUAGAUUCUGCAAGGUCAUCGAUGACUUUUCCUGUUGAAAUCAACUUAAAGUGAUCCCCAACAUUUUACUUGUUUUUUAGCCUUUCACUUUCACCUAGCAUUUGGGAUGUUUAAUUCAACAUCUUCAUCCUCAUGUUUCAUUUCGGGAACGUUUAUAUCAUCCAAAUCAAUUGAAUUGUACCUUCCCUGACCAUGAAUGUGAACAUCUUCAGGUAUCGGCAGGUCAUUUAGACCGGCAAAUUCAUUUGAAAAUUGGCUUUGCGGCAUCCUAGGCGAUUCGCCAUGAUGUGGCCCACAUCCUGUAUCGAACAAGUUUUCAA